rnacentral:sRNA from 1 species
UAUUCUGCCCCAUGGGGAAGGAUGAGAAGCUUCGACUAAGGUUCGACUCGAGCGCAGCGAGAGAACGUUGCCACAGGCAAUGGCCCGAAGGGCGAGGAGAGAUAGCGACGAGUUAUCCUUCCCCCACCACCA